rnacentral:sRNA from 2 species
GAACAGCCUUAUUUUUCUUAUUUUAGAACUUCCUUGUUUGGGACAGGAAUUUUGGCGGGGGUUUCGGGGGUGAGAUCCUGGUCAAAACGUAGGGGAUUUUGUUUCCUGGCCUUUGGUGGCCUCCCCCCUUUUCAAGGUUUCCCCUUUUCUUAGUGUCCCUUGCUUGAUCUUUGCUUCAGCGGUCCGCGCCCGAAGCAGAAGAAGAGGAAAAACUUGUCUCCUACCCUACCCUUUAACCCGAAACAGGAAGAGUCCAAAGCGAUCAAGAGACGAAAUGUCACCGCCACGCAUGGGAGUUCAUGCACACAAACAUUUUCCAGAAGGGGAGAAUUAAACUUUUGGCGUGUCCAUGUGGUAUAUUUCCCGCGUAGCUCGUCCCCCAUUUCUGACUCCUUUAAUCCGCUAGAUAACAUAGAUACAGAGUACCUAGUGAUUAUUUCACCCAUGCAUUCACCAGUAACUUGAAACUUUGUCCAUUUCAAAACCAGAUUGGCCUGGUGUAAAGCCUGGUGUAAUACAAAAAC